AUUGAACGCUAGCGGGAUGCCUUACACAUGCAAGUCGAACGGAGUGGCGAACGGGUGAGUAAUGUAUCGGAACGUGCCCAGUAGCGGGGGAUAACUACGCGAAAGCGUAGCUAAUACCGCAUACUAUUAGACGGGCCGCUAGCGGAUUAGCAAGUUGGUGGGGUAAGGGCCCACAAAGGCGACGAUCCGUAGCUGGUUUGAGAGGACGACCAGCCACACGGGGACUGAGACACGGCCCAGACUCCUACGGGAGGCAGCAGUGGGGAAUUUUGGACAAUGGGGGAAACCCUGAUCCAGCCAUCCCGCGUGUGCGAUGAAGGCCUUCGGAUUGUAAAGCACUUUUGGCAGGAAAGCGGUACCUGCAGAAUAAGCACCGGCUAACUACGUGCCAGCAGCCGCGGUAAUAC
rnacentral:rRNA from 1 species